rnacentral:misc_RNA from 1 species
GUGUUAUCAUCGAAUUGGUAAUUGUCUCACUGACAUUUAAAGUAGGAUCGGAGGUUACGCCACUCCACUCUACGCCACUCUAUCGAGCUUCGCAGUAUAUCGAAGGGAACCCUCCCCCGAAUGCGAUUUAAGCAACGCGCCUACGUCAACAUCUGUGCGCGGCCGCCUCAUAUUCGGCCCUUUUUUACAUUCGAGGAAAUGAGACGCCCAGAGGGCACCGCCAUCACCACCCAUCAAAUUCCCUCUCGACCGAGACCGCGCUCCCGCCCCCCCACCUGCAACGAGGAAACCCAAGCUAGUGUCGGCCGAUCAUUACACGACCCGUUUAACAUUUAACAAACAAAAAACGAAACGUUCGCAUAACUGAACUUCAAGUUAUUAAUGAACGAGUCUCUUCCUCUAAUUUAAUUUUACAUUUUAAAUUCAUAAACCUAUGUUAGUGUGAUACAUUUACAUAUAUAUAUAUAUACAUAAAUCCUAUCCUUUUAUUAAGCUUAU